AUUGAACGCUGGCGGCAGGCCUAACACAUGCAAGUCGAGCGGGGUUUUCGGACCUAGCGGCGGACGGGUGAGUAAUGCGUAGGAAGCUACCCGAUAGAGGGGGAUACCAGUUGGAAACGACUGUUAAUACCGCAUAAUGUCUACGGACCAAAGUGUGGGACCUUCGGGCCACAUGCUAUCGGAUGCGCCUACGUGGGAUUAGCUAGUUGGUGGGGUAAUGGCUCACCAAGGCGACGAUCCCUAGCUAGUUUGAGAGGAUGAUCAGCCACACUGGAACUGAGACAAGGUCCAGACUCCUACGGGAGGCAGCAGUGGGGAAUAUUGGACAAUGGGCGCAAGCCUGAUCCAGCCAUGCCGCGUGUGUGAAGAAGGCCUUCGGGUUGUAAAGCACUUUCAGUAGGGAGGAAGGGUGUUGUGUUAAUAGCACAGCAUUUUGACGUUACCUACAGAAGAAGCACCGGCUAACUCUGUGCCAGCAGCCGCCGUAAGAC
rnacentral:rRNA from 1 species